rnacentral:rRNA from 1 species
AUUGAACGCUGGCGGCAGGCCUAACACAUGCAAGUCGAACGAGUGGCGGACGGGUGAGUAAUGUCUGGGAAACUGCCUGAUGGAGGGGGAUAACUACUGGAAACGGUAGCUAAUACCGCAUACCAUCGGAUGUGCCCAGAUGGGAUUAGCUAGUAGGUGGGGUAAAGGCUCACCUAGGCGACGAUCCCUAGCUGGUCUGAGAGGAUGACCGGCCACACUGGAACUGCGACACGGUCCAGAGUCCUACGGGCGGCAGCAGGGGGGCAUAUGGGACAAUGGGAGCAAGCCUGAUGCAGUCAUGCCGCGUGUAUGCAGAAGGCCUUCGGGUUGUAAAGUACUUUCGGCGGGGAGGCGUUACCCGCAGAAGAAGCACCGGCUAACUCCGUGCCAGCAGCCGCGGUAAUUC